UACGGGGGGGGCAAGCGUUGUUCGGAAUUACUGGGCGUAAAGGGUGCGUAGGCGGCCUUCUAAGUCGGACGUGAAAUCCCUCGGCUUAACCGAGGAACUGCGUCCGAUACUGAAAGGCUUGAAUCCGGGAGAGGGAUGUGGAAUUCCAGGUGUAGCGGUGAAAUGCGUAGAUAUCUGGAGGAACACCGGUGGCGAAGGCGGCAUCCUGGACCGGCAUUGACGCUGAGGCGCGAAAGCUAGGGGAGCAAACGGG
rnacentral:rRNA from 1 species